rnacentral:rRNA from 1 species
UUUCGGGAUCUUGAGAGCGGCGUACGGGUGCGGAACACGUGUGCAACCUGCCUUUAUCUGGGGGAUAGCCUUUCGAAAGGAAGAUUAAUACCCCAUAAUAUACUGAAUGGCAUCAUUCGGUAUUGAAAACUCCGGUGGAUAGAGAUGGGCACGCGCAAGAUUAGAUAGUUGGUGAGGUAACGGCUCACCAAGUCUACGAUCUUUAGGGGGCCUGAGAGGGUGAUCCCCCACACUGGUACUGAGACACGGACCAGACUCCUACGGGAGGCAGCAGUGAGGAAUAUUGGACAAUGGGUGAGAGCCUGAUCCAGCCAUCCCGCGUGAAGGACGACGGCCCUAUGGGUUGUAAACUUCUUUUGUAUAGGGAUAAACCUACCCUCGUGAGGGUAGCUGAAGGUACUAUACGAAUAAGCACCGGCUAACUCCGUGCCAGCAGCCGCGGUAAUACGGAGGGUGCAAGCGUUAUCCGGAUUUAUUGGGUUUAAAGGGUCCGUAGGCGGAUCUGUAAGUCAGUGGUGAAAUCUCACAGCUUAACUGUGAAACUGCCAUUGAUACUGCAGGUCUUGAGUGUUGUUGAAGUAGCUGGAAUAAGUAGUGUAGCGGUGAAAUGCAUAGAUAUUACUUAGAACACCAAUUGCGAAGGCAGGUUACUAAGCAACAACUGACGCUGAUGGACGAAAGCGUGGGGAGCGAACAGGAUUAGAUACCCUGGUAGUCCACGCCGUAAACGAUGCUAACUCGUUUUUGGAAUGUAAGUUUCAGAGACUAAGCGAAAGUGAUAAGUUAGCCACCUGGGGAGUACGAACGCAAGUUUGAAACUCAAAGGAAUUGACGGGGGCCCGCACAAGCGGUGGAUUAUGUGGUUUAAUUCGAUGAUACGCGAGGAACCUUACCAAGGCUUAAAUGGGAAAUGACAGGUUUAGAAAUAGACUUUUCUUCGGACAUUUUUCAAGGUGCUGCAUGGUUGUCGUCAGCUCGUGCCGUGAGGUGUUAGGUUAAGUCCUGCAACGAGCGCAACCCCUGUCACUAGUUGCCAUCAUUAAGUUGGGGACUCUAGUGAGACUGCCUACGCAAGUAGAGAGGAAGGUGGGGAUGACGUCAAAUCAUCACGGCCCUUACGCCUUGGGCCACACACGUAAUACAAUGGCCGGUACAGAGGGCAGCUACACUGCGAAGUGAUGCAAAUCUCGAAAGCCGGUCUCAGUUCGGAUUGGAGUCUGCAACUCGACUCUAUGAAGCUGGAAUCGCUAGUAAUCGCGCAUCAGCCAUGGCGCGGUGAAUACGUUCCCGGGCCUUGUACACACCGCCCGUCAAGCCAUGGAAGUCUGGGGUACCUGAAGUCGGGACCGUAACAGGA